rnacentral:lncRNA from 1 species
UGGAAUACCUGAAGAACCUCCUACCACCGGCCAAAAAGUUGUUUCUCAAUGAACAAAGGAGGGAGAAACGAUCUACCGAUGCCUUGAGAUCCCUUGCAUAUAUGGGUCAAUGUUUAGCGAGCCUCAUUAGUUCUAAUCAUGAUGCUUCGAUGAUGGAGAAAGAGGAGAUCGACUUGCCGAAGUAUUGAUUGAAACAUCUGGAGAGGGAUAACACUGAGCUGACCAAGAAACUUAACCUUACAGAGGAGGCUUUUUAGGAGACCCAG